rnacentral:rRNA from 1 species
CUUAUAUGGAGAGUUUGAUCCUGGCUCAGGACGAACGCUGGCGGCGUGCCUAAUACAUGCAAGUCGAGCGG